rnacentral:misc_RNA from 1 species
GUUUCUUUUCGAAAAUGAAUCACCAGUCACCACUACUACAUUAACCAGGGAUCUAUUAUCAUAUGAAAUUCUGCUGUAUUGCCACCACCAAAAUCAAUACCACACCAGGCCAGCAUAACUAUCACAGCAUGAUAAAAUAACUCUUCUAGCAGCAGACAAUCACUGUCAUCACUUGUGAACCAACACUGUUGCCAUCGUGCAACUAUCAUCGGCAAUUCAUUCACAUCAUUGUGGCUACAGCCACGGUACCACCAUUAUUACCACA